UCCCUGGUGGCUCAGACGGUAAAGCGUCUGCCUGCAAUGCGGGAGACCCGGGUUCGAUCCCUGGUUCAGGAA
rnacentral:tRNA from 1 species